UACGUAGGGGGCAAGCGUUGUCCGGAUUUACUGGGCGUAAAGAGCGCGCAGGCGGUCGUUCAAGUCGCGUGUGAAAGCCCCCGGCUCAACUGGGGAGGGUCACGCGAUACUGAUCGACUCGAAGGCAGGAGAGGGUAGUGGAAUUCCCGGUGUAGUGGUGAAAUGCGUAGAUAUCGGGAAGAACACCUAUGGCGAAGGCAGCACUCUGGGACGGUACUGACGCUGAGACGCGAAAGCGUGGGGAGCGAACAGG
rnacentral:rRNA from 1 species